rnacentral:rRNA from 1 species
UACGGAGGAUCCGAGCGUUAUCCGGAUUUAUUGGGUUUAAAGGGAGCGUAGGCGGGUUGUUAAGUCAGUUGUGAAAGUUUGCGGCUCAACCGUAAAAUUGCAGUUGAUACUGGCAUCCUUGAGUACAGUAGAGGUAGGCGGAAUUCGUGGUGUAGCGGUGAAAUGCUUAGAUAUCACGAAGAACUCCGAUUGCGAAGGCAGCCUGCUGGACUGUAACUGACGCUGAUGCUCGAAAGUGUG